rnacentral:rRNA from 1 species
AGAGUUUGAUCAUGGCUCAGAAUCAACGCUGGCGGCGUGCCUAACACAUGCAAGUCGAACGCGAAAGUCCCGCAAGGGAUGAGUAGAGUGACAAACGGGUGAGUAACGCGUGGGUGACCUGCCUUCGAGUGGGGGAUAACGUCCCGAAAGGGACGCUAAUACCGCAUAACAUCCUUCCUUUGAACAGGAGGAGAUCAAAGCCGGGGAUCGCAAGACCUGGCGCUUGAUGAGGGGCCCGCGCCUGAUUAGCUAGUUGGUGGGGUAACGGCUCACCAAGGCGACGAUCAGUAUCCGGCCUGAGAGGGCGGACGGACACACUGGGACUGAGACACGGCCCAGACUCCUACGGGAGGCAGCAGUGGGGAAUUGUUCGCAAUGGGCGCAAGCCUGACGACGCAACGCCGCGUGGAGGAUGAAGGUCUUCGGAUUGUAAACUCCUGUUGCUCGGGACGAAUAGCUCCGACCGAAUACGUCGGAGUCUGACGGUACCGAGUGAGAGCC